UAGGCAGUGAAGGAAUAUUGGUCAAUAGCCUAACAGCUGAACCAGCAACUUGGAGGAAUGUAUAGGGAAAACUGGUAAAAUGUGAUGUACCUAGUAGUAUUAGUAAUAAAUAUAAGAUUAACUAAGUUAAUUAAAAUUCUAAGUAGAUAUGUGAUUAUGACAAUAUCUGCAUAGGUCUUGACCAAGUCACGUGCCAGCAGUCGCGGUAAUACGUGGAAGACGAGUGUUAUUCAUCUUUAUUGGGUUUAAAGGGUACCUAGACAGUUAAUUAAGCAAUAAGAUGUACUUAUUAACUAGAGUUUAAUGUAAGAAGGAUUGAGUACGGUGAGAGUAGAGAUAAAAUUUUUUGAUCCCACUUAGGAACUGGUAACAGCGAAGGCUACCUUCUAUGUAAAAAACUGACGUUAAGGGACGAAGGCUUGUAACAAAGAAUAGGAUUAGAAACCCUAGUAUUUUGAGCAGAAAAUGAUGAGUGUCAUAUACAAGAUAUAUGUUUUGUGUAUAAAUGAAAGUGUAAGCACUCCACCUCAAGAGUAACGUGGCAACACGGGAACUGAAAUCAUUAGACCGUUUCUGAAACUCGUAGUGAAGUAUGUUGUUUAAUUUGAUGGUCCACAAAUAACCUUACCACAAUUUGUAUAACUAUUUUAAAAUAGUAACAAGCGUUGCACGGCUGUCUUCAGUCAAUGUUGUGAAACUUUGGUUAGAUCCAUUUAAUUGACGUAAACCCUUACUUUAAUUAUUUUAAAGUAGUUCGCCGCUAUAUUGGUAGUGAUAUAUGGGACUAGGACAAGUCAUCUCGACCCGAACAUUGUGGGCUAUAGACGUGCCAC
rnacentral:rRNA from 1 species